rnacentral:rRNA from 1 species
GUCCCGCCGCCCCCGCCCGCCUACGGGAGGCAGCAGUGGGGAAUUUUGGACAAUGGGCGCAAGCCUGAUCCAGCCAUGCCGCGUGCGGGAAGAAGGCCUUCGGGUUGUAAACCGCUUUUGUCAGGGAAGAAAAGGUUCUGGUUAAUACCUGGGACUCAUGACGGUACCUGAAGAAUAAGCACCGGCUAACUACGUGCCAGCAGCCGCGGUAAUACGUAGGGUGCAAGCGUUAAUCGGAAUUACUGGGCGUAAAGCGUGCGCAGGCGGUUAUGCAAGACAGAGGUGAAAUCCCCGGGCUCAACCUGGGAACUGCCUUUGUGACUGCAUGGCUAGAGUGCGGCAGAGGGGGAUGGAAUUCCGCGUGUAGCAGUGAAAUGCGUAGAUAUGCGGAGGAACACCGAUGGCGAAGGCAAUCCCCUGGACCUGCACUGACGCUCAUGCACGAAAGCGUGGGGAGCAAACAGGAUUAGAUACCCUGGUAGUCCACGCCCUAAACGAUGUCAACUGGUUGUUGGGAGGGUUUUCUCUCAGUA